AUUGAACGCUGGCGGCAGGCUUAACACAUGCAAGUCGAGCGAGCGGCGGACGGGUGAGUAAUGUAUGGGGAUCUGCCUGAUAGAGGGGGAUAACUACUGGAAACGGUUGCUAAUACCGCAUACUAUCGUAUGAACCCAAAUGGGAUUAGCUAGUAGGUGGGGUAAUGGCUCACCUAGGCGCCGAUCCCUAGCUGGUCUGAGAGGAUGACCAGCCACACUGGAACUGAGACAAGGCGCAGAAUCCUACGGGAUGCAGAGGUGGGGAAUAUUGCACAAUGGGCGGAAGCCUGAUGCAGCCAUGCCGCGUGUAUGAAGAAGGCCUUAGGGUUGUAAAGUACUUUAAGCGGGGAGGCGUUACCCGAAGAAGAAGCACCGGCUAACUCCGUGCCAGCCGCCGCGGUAAUAC
rnacentral:rRNA from 1 species